AUUGAACGCUGGCGGCAUGCCUUACACAUGCAAGUCGAACGGCAGCGGGGGAGAAGCUUGCUUUUCCGGCCGGCGAGUGGCGAACGGGUGAGUAAUACAUCGGAACGUGCCCUGUAGUGGGGGAUAACUAGGCGCAAGAUUAGCUAAUACCGCAUACGACCUGAGGGUGAAAGGGGGGGACCGCAAGGCCUCAUGCUAUAGGAGCGGCCGAUGUCUGAUUAGCUAGUUGGUGGGGUAAAGGCCUACCAAGGCGGCGAUGAGUCGCUGGUCUGUGGGGACGGCCAGCCACCCGGGGAUCGGGGCACGGUCCACACGCCUACGCGAUGCAGCAGUGGGUCAUUUUGGACAAUGGGCGAAAGCGUGACCCAGCAAUGCCGCGUGGGUGAAGAAGUCCUUCGGGUUGUUAAGCACUUUUGUCCGGAAAGAAAUGGCUCUGGUUAAUACCUGGGUUCGAUGACGGUACCGGAAGAAUAAGGGCCGGCUAACUACGUGCCAGCAGCCGCCGUAA
rnacentral:rRNA from 1 species